AGAAGGUUAAUGUGUUUAUCAGUUAGUUUAUGUAAGUAUUAUAGGUAAAAGAAAAGUAUAUAUAUAAUUACUUUUUUUUCGCGACAUUUACCUUGUAAUAUCUGCUCGGUCGUAUGUUCUUUAUAGCAAUAAAAAAAAUUAAAAGUUAAAAGAACUCAAACGAAUCAAAACUUCGCGUCGAAUCAUGAUUUUGUUAACAUUCACAACGCACACACAAAUAAAAACAGGCCUCAGAUUUUAAAUGUAACAUUAAUUAAAAAUCCGAGAUAUCCAAUUAUGAAGUUGUGAUUUUUAAGGAAAUUAAAUAAUAAUUUUCUAAAAUAUAACAUGCACAUACUUUUUUUGA